UUCCAGUAAAACAAGCGAAUGGCACCUCAAACAUACUCUUACUCUACUCAUACAAGUUAAAUUCACUAAAUACAACUGGAAGCACCUGAGAUUAAAAGGAAAUGGAUUCCACUAGAUUAAAACAGACGGGUGAAAUGUAAAACACACUAGAAAUGAACACAUCUCAAACUGCUGUGAGUGAACGAGUCAGGCCAGUUCUACUCACAGAGCGCCUGAGCUUCAAGGAAAUGCAUUCCAGGACAAAAUAAAAUCUCAAAACACACUAAACUUUAGAAUUCAGCAUUUGGAAGAAUCUGAACAACUUUGGAAAUGUACCGACAACAUAGAUAACGAAUCCAACAAUGUAUCA
ensembl:lncRNA